GGUUGGGUCUGUCUAACCGCCGCAAGGUGUGAACGGAUGGGUCCUUCCUUCCUCUUGAAGACUCCAUGUGCACUUCACGGUGUGUGUGGCAGGAUUCGAGACUUUUACUUUGAAAAAAUUAGAGUGUUCAAAGCAGGCCUUCGCUUGAAUACAUUAGCAUGGAAUAAUGAAAUAGGACGUCGGUUCUAUUUUGUUGGUUUCUAGGACCGAAGUA
rnacentral:rRNA from 1 species